UACGAAGGGUGCAAGCGUUAAUCGGAAUUACUGGGCGUAAAGCGUGCGUAGGCGGUUGGCUAAGUCAGAUGUGAAAGCCCUGGGCUCAACCUGGGAAUGGCAUUUGAAACUGGCCGGCUAGAGUGUGAUAGAGGAUGGCGGAAUUCCCGGUGUAGCGGUGAAAUGCGUAGAGAUCGGGAGGAACAUCCGCGGCGAAGGCGGCCAUCUGGAUCAACACUGACGCUGAGGCACGAAAGCGUGGGGAGCAAACAGG
rnacentral:rRNA from 1 species